rnacentral:rRNA from 1 species
GACGGAGGGGGCUAGCGUUGUUCGGAAUUACUGGGCGUAAAGAGCGCGUAGGCGGCUCGGCAAGUUGGAAGUGAAAGCCCGGGGCUUAACCUCGGAAUUGCUUUCAAAACUGCUGAGCUAGAGUAUGGUAGGGGAUGAUGGAAUUCCUAGUGUAGAGGUGAAAUUCUUAGAUAUUAGGAGGAACACCGGUGGCGAAGGCGGUCAUCUGGGCCAUUACUGACGCUGAGGCGCGAAAGCGUGGGGGAGCAAACAGG